AUUGAACGCUGGCGGCAGGCUUAACACAUGCAAGUCGAGCGGAGAUGAGGUGCUUGCACCUUAUCUUAGCGGCGGACGGGUGAGUAAUGCUUAGGAAUCUGCCUAUUAGUGGGGGACAACAUUCCGAAAGGAAUGAUAAUACCGCAUACGUCCUACGGGAGAAAGCAGGGGAUCUUCGGACCUUGCGCUAAUAGAUGAGCCUAAGUCGGAUUAGCUAGUUGGUGGGGUAAAGGCCUACCAAGGCGACGAUCUGUAGCGGGUCUGAGAGGAUGAUCCGCCACACUGGGACUGAGAAACGGCCCAGACUCCUACGGGAGGCAGCAGUGGGGAAUAUUGGACAAUGGGGGGAACCCUGAUCCAGCCAUGCCGCGUGUGUGAAGAAGGCCUUAUGGUUGUAAAGCACUUUAAGCGAGGAGGAGGCUACUGAGACUAAUACUCUUGGAUAGUGGACGUUACUCGCAGAAUAAGCACCGGCUAACUCUGUGCCAGCCGCCGCCGUAACAC
rnacentral:rRNA from 1 species